rnacentral:rRNA from 1 species
AAAUUGAAGAGUUUGAUCAUGGCUCAGAUUGAACGCUGGCGGCAGGCCUAACACAUGCAAGUCGAGCGGUAGCACAGAGAGCUUGCUCUCGGGUGACGAGCGGCGGACGGGUGAGUAAUGUCUGGGAAACUGCCUGAUGGAGGGGGAUAACUACUGGAAACGGUAGCUAAUACCGCAUAACGUCGCAAGACCAAAGUGGGGGACCUUCGGGCCUCAUGCCAUCAGAUGUGCCCAGAUGGGAUUAGCUAGUAGGUGGGGUAACGGCUCACCUAGGCGACGAUCCCUAGCUGGUCUGAGAGGAUGACCAGCCACACUGGAACUGAGACACGGUCCAGACUCCUACGGGAGGCAGCAGUGGGGAAUAUUGCACAAUGGGCGCAAGCCUGAUGCAGCCAUGCCGCGUGUGUGAAGAAGGCCUUCGGGUUGUAAAGCACUUUCAGCGGGGAGG